rnacentral:rRNA from 1 species
GACGAGCGCUGGCGGCGUGCCUAAUACAUGCAAGUUGAGCGCUGAAGGUUGGUACUUGUACCAACUGGAUGAGCAGCGAACGGGUGAGUAACGCGUGGGGAAUCUGCCUUUGAGCGGGGGACAACAUUUGGAAACGAAUGCUAAUACCGCAUAAAAACUUUAAACACAAGUUUUAAGUUUGAAAGAUGCAAUUGCAUCACUCAAAGAUGAUCCCGCGUUGUAUUAGCUAGUUGGUGAGGUAAAGGCUCACCAAGGCGAUGAUACAUAGCCGACCUGAGAGGGUGAUCGGCCACAUUGGGACUGAGACACGGCCCAAACUCCUACGGGAGGCAGCAGUAGGGAAUCUUCGGCAAUGGACGAAAGUCUGACCGAGCAACGCCGCGUGAGUGAAGAAGGGUUUCGGAUCGUAAAACUCUGUUGGUAGAGAAGAACGUUGGUGAGAGUGGAAAGCUCAUCAAGUGACGGUAACUACCCAGAAAGGGACGGCUAACUACGUG